rnacentral:rRNA from 1 species
UACGUAGGGUGCAAGCGUUGCCCGGAUUUAUUGGGCGUAAAGGGCGCGUAGGCGGCUCGGAACGUCCGUUGUGAAAUCGCCCGGCUCAACUGGGCGGGGUCAGCGGAUACGGCCGAGCUUGAGCAAGCUAGGGGGCAAUGGAAUUCCCGGUGUAGUGGUGGAAUGCGUAGAUAUCGGGGAGGAACACCAGUGGCGAAGGCGGUUGCCUGGGGCUUUGCUGACGCUGAUGC